rnacentral:lncRNA from 1 species
AUAAAAUAUUUAUUAGUUUAUUUUGGGCUAGGCAAAUUAUGUUAAAAAAUUGUAAAAUAUUUAACGUAUUUUAAAUACUUUAAAUCAGUUUAUUAGAGCCAAUCGUUGAUUUGAAAGUCACAAUAUCGAAAAUGAUUUAAUAACACUGAGGUCACCAUACUUCUCCGAACACAUACAUAACUAUCUCUUUCUCUCUCUAUAUAUAUAAUCUCUUUCUCUCUCUAUAUGUAU